rnacentral:rRNA from 1 species
AGACCUCGGAUCAGGAG